rnacentral:rRNA from 1 species
GACGAACGCUGGCGGCGUGCCUAAUACAUGCAAGUCGAACGCAGUUGGGACGGGUGAGUAACACGUGGGUAACCUCCCAUCAGAGGGGAUAACACUUGGAAACAGGUGCUAAACCGAUACUGAUGGAUGGACCCGCGGUGCAUUAGCUAGUUGGUGAGGUAACGGCUCACCAAGGCCACGAUGCAUAGCCGCCCUGGUGGGGUGAGUGGCCACACGGGGACUGAGACACGGCCCAGACUCCUACGGGAGUCAGCAGUAGGGAAUCUUCGGCACUGGACGAAAGUCUGACCGAUCAACGCCGCGUGAGUGAAGAAGGUUUUCGGAUCGUAAAACUCUGUUGUUAGAGAAGCGGUAUCUAACCAGAAAGCCACGGCUAACUACGUGUCAGCAGCCGCGGUAAUUC